AGAGUUUGAUCCUGGCUCAGGACGAACGCUGGCGGCGCGCCUAACACAUGCAAGUCGAACGGAGCUUAGAGAGCUUGCUUUUUAAGCUUAGUGGCGAACGGGUGAGUAACGCGUGAGUAACCUGCCCUAGAGUGGGGGACAACAGUUGGAAACGACUGCUAAUACCGCAUAAGCCCACGGUGCCGCAUGACACUGAGGGAAAAGGAUUUAUUCGCUUUAGGAUGGACUCGCGUCCAAUUAGCUAGUUGGUGAGGUAACGGCCCACCAAGGCGACGAUUGGUAGCCGGACUGAGAGGUUGAACGGCCACAUUGGGACUGAGACACGGCCCAGACUCCUACGGGAGGCAGCAGUGGGGGAUAUUGCACAAUGGGGGAAACCCUGAUGCAGCGACGCCGCGUGGAGGAAGAAGGUUUUCGGAUUGUAAACUCCUGUCGUUAGGGACGAUAAUGACGGUACCUAACAAGAAAGCACCGGCUAACUACGUGCCAGCAGCCGCGGUAAAACGUAGGGUGCAAGCGUUGUCCGGAAUUACUGGGUGUAAAGGGAGCGCAGGCGGGAAGACAAGUUGGAAGUGAAAACCAUGGGCUCAACCCAUGAAUUGCUUUCAAAACUGUUUUUCUUGAGUAGUGCAGAGGUAGGCGGAAUUCCCGGUGUAGCGGUGGAAUGCGUAGAUAUCGGGAGGAACACCAGUGGCGAAGGCGGUCUACUGGGCACCAACUGACGCUGAGGCUCGAAAGCAUGGGUAGCAAACAGGAUUAGAUACCCUGGUAGUCCAUGCCGUAAACGAUGAUUACUAGGUGUUGGGGGAUUGACCCCCUCAGUGCCGCAGUUAACACAAUAAGUAAUCCACCUGGGGAGUACGACCGCAAGGUUGAAACUCAAAGGAAUUGACGGGGGCCCGCACAAGCAGUGGAGUAUGUGGUUUAAUUCGAAGCAACGCGAAGAACCUUACCAAGUCUUGACAUCCCUCUGACGGACUCUUAACCGAGUCUUUCCUUCGGGACAGAGGAGACAGGUGGUGCAUGGUUGUCGUCGGCUCGUGUCGUGAGAUGUUGGGUUAAGUCCCGCAACGAGCGCAACCCCUAUCCCCAGUAGCCAGCAUUUUGGAUGGGCACUCUGAGGAGACUGCCAGGGAUAACCUGGAGGAAGGCGGGGAUGACGUCAAAUCAUCAUGCCCCUUAUGAUUUGGGCUACACACGUGCUACAAUGGCGUAAACAAAGGGAAGCGAGCCUGCGAGGGUAAGCAAAUCCCAAAAAUAACGUCCCAGUUCGGACUGCAGUCUGCAACUCGACUGCACGAAGCUGGAAUCGCUAGUAAUCGCGGAUCAGAAUGCCGCGGUGAAUACGUUCCCGGGUCUUGUACUCACCGCCCGUCA
rnacentral:rRNA from 1 species